rnacentral:lncRNA from 1 species
UUGAGGAGGCAGCGUCUGAUUUACAUAGGGCACGAGAGAUUGGUCAGGCCAGGUGUGCUGUUUGGAUAGCCUGCAAAGAAGCUGGCCGCCCCACCCUAAUCUUUUACUAUGUAUAUAAGUUCUCUACCUGGCUGGCACCACGUUGCCUACUCCCUGACUGCACACGUGGUGACGAAGAAAAGCAAAGAAAACGGAAGAUGGCGCCUCCAUGUUGAACAUGCCUGGCUCCCAGGAGAGGAUGGUGUGGAGAACUGAAAUUCCGCUAAGAACACCUUAGGAUUCCCUAUAGGGUAAAGUGAAGAUCUUCAACUGGGCGUUGUGGAUUUAGAUGUGUAUGAGAAAUCCAGAUUAUCCUACAGGGUAUUACAAAGCUCAGAAUGGUAAACUUUAAGUCACUGUAGCUAGUUCUGAUUUUUACAAUUGAAAUUACACUUGAUGCCACUAUUUUCCAUAAGUGAUGCUUCUGACAUUUUAUGCAAACUUCAGUUUAUAUAUAAAAUUGGAUGCUCUGAAUGCUUUGAUUAGCAUGGUCUUACCUGAGCUAGUUAAAACAUGAUUUUAAUAAGACCAAAGAUCAAGAUUUCCUUCAGAAGCCAACUCCAAGUGAAGUUGUCCUCCUCAUGCGAACUACAGCUUAAAUUCCGGACAUAACAGCUUAGCUUCCAGAGAGAAGAAACAGUGACCUAGGACGGCAAUGAAACACAUUGAUCCUACCUUUGGAAUAUGGAUAGAAGAAGAAAAGUGGAUCAAAAGUGGAUUUUAGUUGUAAAUUCAGCCAUGACAGAAAUACCAUGAAUCCACUGAAUGCAUCCUUCAUCUAUAUCAAUAACACAUACAGUGUGAGCUGUCAAAUUAUGGCCAGAAGUGUGUAUAUGAAUACAAAAGUUAAUUUUUAAGUGACUAGCCUUAAGAGUUUUAGUCCGAGAAUGUGCAUAAUUAAAAACAAUGAGUAUUUUUAUCAGAAUAAUCUGAAAAAAAUUCUUAGAAUCAUUAUGAUAAAACCAGUCUCAUUUGUUUAAUGUCCUACAGCAUCACAAAUUGUCAUAUAACAUCAUAAUAAGGUUAACAAAAAAUAAAAUAUCAUUAAAGAAACAAUGUUGUCUUAUAACUAUUUAUCCUAUCCAUAUCAUAGUCAUGAAGCUAAAAUAUAGAGAUAAGCCAGUAAUAGCUAUCGAAUUUCAACCUGGCUAUUUUGACAGCUUGUGUACCCAAUCUAAAAUUAUGGUAAGUUAAGUAGCAUUUUCAACAUUUCUACAAAGUAUAAUGAAAAUUAUAGAUAUUUUUUCUUUCUCACCCAUAUUUGGAAAGAAAUUUAGGAGAUCCUUUAAAACCAUUAGGCUUUCUAAGACAGAAAAAAUAUAAUUGCACAGGAAUGAAGAUAACACAGGUAGCAAUUCAUUGCGUAUCCAUUCUUUAUGGUGGCUUCUUUCCCCAAGCUCAGGAAACUGCUGUUUAUAUAAAUUUGGAUUAAACAGAAGAGUCAUUCAGUUGUACAACUCUGUAGUUUUGCCAGAAGAUGAUGGAGUGGAAAACUGAAAUUCUCAUAAGAGUGCCAAAGGAAUCCCCACGGAACAAACUGAAGCUGUUCUAGUGUGCAUUUUGCAUUUGGACAUAUGUGAGAAGCCCAGAUUGUCCCAAAGGACAUUACAAACUUCUGGAAACAUAAACAUCAUUUCAUUGUGGACAAUUCUAGUUUUAACAAUUGAAAUAAUAUUUUAUGCACUAUUAACCACCACAGAUGACACUUCUGUCAUGUUUGUACAAACUUUAGUUUACAUAUGAAAAUUACUCAGUGCUUUGAUUAGUAUAAUCUUGUCUGAGGUAAUCAAAACAUAAUAUUAAUAAGGCCAAAGUUUCUGAUUCCCUUCAGAAGCCAAACCUAAAUACAAUUGUCUUCCCCAUGAAAAUUGCAGCUCAAAUUUUAGACACAUACUUAGUUCUCCCAUUUUAUGAUAAAAUAUGAUGGGAAAUCUUAUUAAAGGCCAAGGGAUGAGCCAAUGAAAAACAAAGACAAGGACUGCAGUGGGAGGUGCCCUAGAACUUUGCUUCUCAAAUUAUAAUAGCUAAGACCUCUCUAAAUGCAGAUUCUAUUUUAAUAAUUCUGGUGUGAGUUUUCCAGGAGCCUUUAUUUCCAAAAAAAAGUAAUGUCCAUGGACAUUUGCCAUCCAACAGGCCUUCAUCAUGGGAGGACCUGGAUUAUCAGAGAACCUUGAUCAUUGGAGAAACAAUAAAUAGCAAAUGUGGUGGGUAUGCAAAGAGAGAAGCAGGGGACGACCAGAUUUGUUCAGGGAGUCCAGCAUGAGUAGGUUUUUGAGGGAUCUUUGGGGGUAGCUCAGGGCUUUGUUCUUUACCCCAACUUACAGAAAAAUCAUUGAUGGAUUUUUG